CAAAAGGAGGCGAGGAAACGGAUGCGAAUACGGACACUUAAGGUUAAUCAGAUAUUCAUGAUGGACAUGUGAACGAGGAUCAAGUUGAAGAUCAUGGAUUGUACGGGAAAGCGGUCACGUUGUUUGUAAUCAUUUUUUAUCAUAGUUACAUUAAAUAAAUGAUGAAUGAUGUAUGUUA